GCCGAAGACGCGGCGGUCGCUCCGCUUGAGGAUUUCUAGGGUUUCCUUUCCCGCCCCCUGGCCUCUUCUGUUCGAUCUCGUGGCGCCCGCGCUUCUCGUGGAAUUGGGGUCGGAUUAGGGUUUCUGCGCCCGCCCCCAUGGCCACGGGUCGGAGGAAGGGCGCGAGCCGGGGGAAGGCGAAGGACCAGUUGCGGCUCGGGGACUUGGUCUUGGCGAAGGUUAAGGGGUACCCUGCGUGGCCAGCGAAGAUAAGCAGGCCUGAAGAUUGGGAAAGAUCGCCCGAUCCGAGGAAACAAUUUGUUCAUUUCUUUGGGACGAAGGAGAUUGCUUUUGUUGCUCCAGCUGAUAUUCAGUUAUUUACGAAUGAAUCAAAGAGUAAGUUGCUUGCUCGCUGCCAAGGUAAAACGGUUAAACAUUUCGCCCGUGCUGUGGAAGAGAUUUGCAAGGCUUUUGAUGAACUUCAGAAGAAAAAAUCAGGUGACUCAGGGGAGGAUAUUGAUGCCUCUGGCUUUGGCCUCAUAUCUUCUCCAAUCGAUGGAGAAGAAAGCAAAGAUCCCAUAGAGGACCUUGAAAACACGCAUUUAGAAGGCCAGAACAAGAAAGUUGAAUAUAAAGAAAGUGAUAACUCCAGUGAUGAGUUGAAAGGUCUGGAUUGUGGCUCAAGAAAUCAUAGUGGUGUAGUUGAAAAGGACUCUUUUGACCUCUCAGAUUUGAAAAAGAAGAAAGAGCAUGAGGGCUCUCCACCUCUUUCUGGAAAUGAUACUGAUCUAAAAGGUGAAGAACAGAAGGUUGUAGAAAAUGGUCAUCAGACAAAAGAGGCGGUUCCUGAACAAAAAGAUGUAGUUCUUGCUCUACGAGCGAAAAGGAAUCGUGAAAUAGGAAAGCAUUUAAAGUAUUCAGACAGAAAGGCUAGGAAGCAUGGUCGACAUGAAGAAUUGCCCAAAAAUGUUAGUAAAAUAGAUUUUACCAUGGAGAGCAAGAAGAGAUCAAAGAGUCCAAGCUUUAUGAAGAGACGCUCAGAUGAGAAGAAAACAUUGAAAAGUGAUCUUAUCAAGGAUAAAUCGGAUAGUCUCAAGAGACAUGUAACUGAAGGGUCAUUAUCUUCUACUGGUUCUGGAAAAAAGUCUCAGCUUGGAAUUAGAAAGCAGGGACUGGACAAGACUGAAGAUUCACGGCCAGUUAAAAAGUUGAAACCAGAAGAGAAGGGAGGUGAUAUAAUUAAGAGCUCAGCUAAGAGCGAUUUGUUGCAAAUAAAUUCAGAAAGUAAAGAUGCUUAUGCCACGAAAGGUAGCAAAUCUGCAACCCCUGCAAUUUCAUCACAUAUUGAUAAGAUCCAGGCAUUAGGUGGUAAGGCUGUGUCUCCUCUAUCAAAGCAACCCAGUAACGAGUUGGAACAAGCACCUAACUCUGCAACAAGAAGUGCCAACGAUACGAGCGAAAAGGUUUCUCAUACUGUGAAGGAAGUUAUGGCUGCUGUCAACAGGUCCUCCACUAGCAAUUUGCCUGCCAGAAGAAGAUCAUGUCGUAUUGAUGAUGAUGAUUCUGAAGAGGAAGAGCAGAGAACACCAGUUCAUAAAGAAGCUUCUGCCAAAAUGAUCUCUAAGCAUUCAAAAACACCACAUCCUGCUGAGAAAUCUCAAAUGCAUUCUGAAAGAGGCAGGCGUUCGCCAUCUAGUGUUGACAGUUCUCUCAUUAAAAAUUCAGUUUUGGCAACAGAUGAUAUAUAUCGCAAUGUUAAGACACCACCUGUUGAGGUUGGACAUAAUUCUUCAUCUCUUACUCCUGGAAAACAGGAUAGAAAGGUUGAAAAAGCUGUGGAGAGAAGGCCAACCAUUAUCUCACCAAAUACAGCUGUUCAUUUAGGUGAUACAACUCGGUUAGCUGACCAUAAAUCCAGUAAGUCACAUUCAAAAGCAUCUGCGUCCAUCCCAGUUAAGAAAGCUCACGCUAGUUCUGCCAAACUCGUAAGCCAGACUUCGGAGAACUUAGACCAUUCUCAUAGUCAAGCGGCCCCAGAAAAGAGUAGUUUGCUUUCCAAAUCAGAUAAGCUGAAGGUGAAUACAAAGCCCAGCUCACGAACGAAUGCGAUGGCUGAAAAUAGGUCAAAUGUUAACUUUUCAGCUGAGCGCAAUAUAGAAAGGGAUCCAUUUGAGGGUGAACGAUCAGAAGGUAAUAAAGAAAAAGCGGGGGGCAUCCAAGGUGAUUCUACAUUUUCAGAUUCGUUCAAGUCAAUGAAGGAUCUUAUUGCAGCUGCUCAGGCAAAGAGGAGAGAGGCACACUCACAUGACAUAACUCAUGAAAAUGCUUUUCCCACCUCACUAACUACACCACAUGUGAUGCCUGGAAGCAGUCGAAGUCCUGUUUCAUCACCCCCUCCAGUCGCAUCAGGAAAUUCUUUUAAGGACCCAAAGGAUGCAUAUGUUUCAGUACCUUAUGAAUCUCCAUCUGAACAAGCUCGGCAAGUUGCAUCAGCAAAACAAGUAGAUCAUGAAGAAUAUGAGCACAGAUUGAGUCCUGGGUAUAGAGCAGCAGGGGGAUCACUGAGUGGUGGAACUGAGGCUGCUGUUGCACGUGAUGCUUUGGAGGGAAUGAUAGAGACUUUAUCAAGGACAAAGGAAAGUAUAGGGCGUGCAACCCGUCUAGCCAUCGAGUGUGCCAAAUAUGGCAUAGCAAGUGAGAUUGUAGAACUUCUCAUACGGAAGUUGGAGGGUGAACCCAGUUUUCAUCGGAGAGUUGACCUCUUUUUCCUUGUAGACUCUAUAACCCAGUGUUCUCAUGCUCAGAAAGGCAUUGCGGGGGCUUCGUACAUUCCUACUGUGCAAGCAGCAUUACCUCGUCUUUUAGGUGCUGCUGCUCCGCCUGGAGUUGGUGCUCGUGAGAAUCGCCGACAGUGUCUCAAGGUUCUGAGAUUAUGGCUUGAGAGGAAGAUUCUGCCAGAAUCACUUCUUCGAAGAUAUAUGGAUGACAUUGAGGUUCCAAAUGAUGAUGCAAAUGCCGGGUUUUCUCUUAGGCGUCCAUCUCGAGCUGAGCGUUCCGUGGACGAUCCAAUUAGAGAAAUGGAGGGCAUGCUUGUUGAUGAAUAUGGAAGCAAUGCUACUUUCCAGUUGUCGGGAUUCUUAUCAUCACAUGUUUUCGAAGACGAGGAAGAUCUUCCUAGUGCUAUAAAGACGACGGGCAAUUUCUUAUCAGUUGAAGGUGGUAGUGGUUCAGAAGAUCAAGAAAAUGGUCGUGCCAUUACCCCGGUCGACAGACGUCGUCCGCUAUUGGAGGAUUCAGAUGCUGAAAUGGAAAUGGAAGAUGCUUCUUCCUUAUCUAGAAAUGAGAGGGGUUUGUCUGUGCAUAACAUGAGCAAUACUCUGCAACCCCCAUUAAGCAACCAGAUUGAGCUCCCCCCUCUACCAGAGGGCCCUCCUCCCCUUCCAUUGGAUUCCCCACCACAACCGCCGCCGUUGCCUCCUUCUCCUCCUCCUUCCCCCCCUCCUCCGCCAUCAUCACCACCACCCUUGCCACCGUUAUCACCAUCUCCACCACCCCCUCCACCACCGCCUCUGCCAUCUCUCCCACCACCUCCACCUCUUGCGCCUUCAUCCCCACCGCCUCUGGUUUAUCACCCUUCUGUGCAGGAAUAUUGCAGGACUCCAAAUGGCAACCAGGUAGCACAACUAGCGGGAAACACUGCGAUGCCUGGGCUAGCUAAUUCUGCUUUCCAGAAUGAAAUGAUUCUACCACAGCCUAACAACUUUAUGGCAAGCGGAGUAUGCAACCCACACCAUACAGCAACCUUCACUUCUUCAAGGCCAUCCAUCUAUGGACAUAACGAUGUUUAUUUAACAUCCCAGAACUCUCAUCCUAACCAGCAAUUUCAGCAUAAUAAUGAACCCCUUCAUCAAGGAUCUUUCCAUAUCCUCCCACCUUCACAAGCACCGCUUCCUUCUCAUUCCCAUCCCACGGCCCAGCAACCGUCAUAUCAUUUCUCACAUGUGAACUCCAUGGGUCAACAGAAUGUACAGAAGCCUUAUAAUCCUUACACCAUGCAAAAUUUUUCUAGCAGUCACAGGCAACAUGUUCCGGAUGAACAGUGGAGACUGCUGUCUCAUGAUGUAAGUCCAGAUAAUCAGAAUCAACCUUGGUUAGCGGGAGGGAGAGUGCCAUCAUGCUCAGGAGCCCCCUAUUUGCAGGAUGGAUAUUUGAGGCCUAACAUGGAUAGGCCAUCUUCGGGUUCUAUGAAUUAUCAACUUCAGUCGCAUAAUUCUAUGCCAUCUGCAGCAUCUCUUCCAGGCCAUGUUCAUCCCCAGAUGUUACCAGGCAGGCCAGAUAUAUCUGCUUUAAAUUGUUGGAGACCUGCUUGAUUUUGUUAAACCCAUUUUGAUUAUGGUAAACUUGAUGCUUCAGUACUGUACUUCGGCUUUUCAUUCUGAGAAGCUGCCGCCGAUAUAUGCACCCUUGUGUUGUUCUGAAUAGCACCCCCUUGAAGCCUUCUAAAGUAGCUAAUGAGCUUAUUUCUCAUCACAGAUGUAACAUUGCAUCUUAAACUUCCUAAAUUGAUGGGGACUUAUGCAUCUCUGACACCCUUUUACAGAUCAGUCAUAGGAUGUGUGGAUGCUGGAUUUGGGUACAUACGGAGGUGUUCCUUUCUUUCCUGAUACAUACUUUAUAAUGGUCAAAUGCUGUUGAGGAUGGUGAUGCAAUCUGCCUUACUGCCAUGCCAGGACUUUGUAAAUUGUAAUUUUGUCUUGAGAGCUACAUACAGCAGACAACCACUGCUAUGUGAUAACCUAUGGCAUUGCAAGUUAUAUAUGGUUUCACCUAUGAAGUGAUUUAUAAUAUUCCAAGAAAAUGACUUGAAGGUCGCAUAUUCUAUGUCAUUGUUAACUUGCAACCAGCUCUUGAGUAAACAAGAGAGAUGUGCAGCACAAGAUGGUCAUGUUAAGUAGGGUAAAUCAUCUCGUGAAGGCAAACUUGCUAUUCUAAAAGAUCUCACAAUAGCUGAAAAUCAAGCUCCCAGGCUGCAGUCAUAUAAAGAAAUCCCCAUAUUGUACGGGUUUUCCCCGAUAAAUUGUUCUGACACAAACAAUUAAUAUCUUGUGUAACUUUUUUCUAUUGUAGUAAUUAUAUUUCUUGUAAUAUUCUGGCCAAAUUUGUAAUUGUUGUUUCUUUUAUUAUCUGCCGUUUUCUAGAGGCCAAUUGUUUUUGCUCAGGGAGUUAACUUGUGAGAAAUAUGGUCUUGCCUGUUGGAAGUCAACUUUCACAUUAGAAGACUGGGGAAACCUAUGUUUCUAGAUGUCAAUAUGGUUCAAGUUGUCAAUAACUAUGUCUCAGAAGUUAUCAUAACAAGGUUCCAGUUAGAAGACUUGUCUGGAUAAUUUAAGAGCUCAUGUAGUAUGCAUUCCUAGAGACUGUGAGUCAUGGAAUAAGACUUUGAUCCUGUUCAACUACCAUGGAGGCUCAGGUACAGUUCUUUGAAGCUUAAAUAUGUCAGGCCAUAGGGAGGUUGGUUCUUAUUUGCUUAAGUACUUCCUUCUGCUUCUUAUUCUUGUUAAAUUUAUUGCAAUAUAUGCUGUCCAAAAGAUGAUGAUUAAGCAUUUGAGGUUUAAUCCUUUUGUUGCUUGUGUAAUUUAUCUGAUUUAUCAUAUUAAUAUGAUUUCUAGA